GACGAACGCUGGCGGCGUGCCUAAUACAUGCAAGUAGAACGCACGGUUUAUACCGUAGCUUGCUACACCAUAGACUGUGAGUUGCGAACGGGUGAGUAACGCGUAGGUAACCUGCCUGGUAGCGGGGGAUAACUAUUGGAAACGAUAGCUAAUACCGCAUAAUAUUAAUUAUUGCAUGAUAAUUAAUUGAAAGGUGCAAUUGCACCACUACCAGAUGGACCUGCGUUGUAUUAGCUAGUAGGUGAGGUAACGGCUCACCUAGGCGACGAUACAUAGCCGACCUGAGAGGGUGAUCGGCCACACUGGGACUGAGACACGGCCCAGACUCCUACGGGAGGCAGCAGUAGGGAAUCUUCGGCAAUGGACGAAAGUCUGACCGAGCAACGCCGCGUGAGUGAAGAAGGUUUUCGGAUCGUAAAGCUCUGUUGUAAGAGAAGAACGGGUGUGAGAGUGGAAAGUUCACACUGUGACGGUAUCUUACCAGAAAGGGACGGCUAACUACGUG
rnacentral:rRNA from 1 species